rnacentral:rRNA from 1 species
GACGAACGCUGGCGGCGUGCUUAACACAUGCAAGUCGAACGGAAAGGCCCUGCUUUCGUGCGCUGCCCGAGUGGCGAACGGGUGAGUAACACGUGAGUAACCUGCCCUUGACUUUGGGAUAACUUCAGGAAACUGGGGUUAAUACCGUAUAGCAGCUCCUGCUGCAUGGUGGGGGUGGGAACGUUUAGGCGGGUGGGGAUGGACUCGCGGGUGAUCAGCUUGUUGGUUGGGUAGUGGCUUACCAAGGCUUUGGAGGAUAGCCGGCAUGAGAGGGUGACCGGGGACAAGAGUACUGCGAUAGGGACCAGACGCGUACGGGAGGCAACAGUGGCGAAUAUUGCACAGUGGGCGGGAGCCUGAUGAAGCGGCCCCGGGUUCGGGAUGACGGCCUGCUGGUUGUAAACAGCUGUAGCCUGUGACGAAGCGGGAGUGACGGUAAUGGGUAAAGAAGCACCGGCUAACUACGUG